rnacentral:miRNA from 1 species
ACGGAUUUUGGCGGAGUUGGGGAGGCA